rnacentral:rRNA from 1 species
UACGGAGGGUGCAAGCGUUGUUCGGAAUUAUUGGGCGUAAAGCGCGCGCAGGCGGUCUGGAAAGUCUAUGGGUGAAAUGCCGGGGCUCAACCCCGUGCAUGCCCAGGAUACUGUCAGACUGGAGACACGUAGAGGCAAGCGGAAUUUCGGGUGUAGCGGUGGAAUGCGUAGAUAUCCGAAAGAACACCGGAGGCGAAGGCGGCUUGCUGGGCGUGAUCUGACGCUGAGGCGCGAAAGCGUGGGGAGCGAACAGG